rnacentral:rRNA from 1 species
GUGGGGAAUAUUGGACAAUGGGCGAAAGCCUGAUCCAGCCAUGCCGCGUGUGUGAAGAAGGUCUUCGGAUUGUAAAGCACUUUAAGUUGGGAGGAAGGGCAGUAAGUUAAUACCUUGCUGUUUUGACGUUACCGACAGAAUAAGCACCGGCUAACUUCGUGCCAGCAGCCGCGGUAAUACGAAGGGUGCAAGCGUUAAUCGGAAUUACUGGGCGUAAAGCGCGCGUAGGUGGUUCAGCAAGUUGAAGGUGAAAUCCCCGGGCUCAACCUGGGAACUGCCUCCAAAAGUAGUGGGCUAAAGUACGGGAGAGGGGAGUGGAAUUUCCUGUGUAGCGGUGAAAUGCGUAGAUAUAGGAAGGAACACCAGUGGCGAAGGCGACUACCUGGACUGAUACUGACACUGAGGUGCGAAAGCGUGGGGAGCAAACAGGAUUAGAUACCCGAGUAGUCC